AUGACUUCAUUGACUUCAAGUUCAAGUAGAUCGAUACACGAGCUCCUAGAACAGGGCAAGUGGUCUGUCGUACAAAUAGAUGGCACUGGGGAAUUUGAUGUGUUACCCAAUAGCUGGUUUACAAGUGUGAACAGAGCACGUUACUAUGACAGCAAUGAAAUCUCCUUGGCCACAGCCACUAAAAUGGUCAAAAACCUAGAUGAAGCCCCGGAGGAUUGGGAAAUUAUCAAUGUCACCCUGAAGAAAAGAAAUUAUGGAACCUUUGACGCAGCCAUGAAAAAAAUAGUAGAUUUGACUCAUGAUCGGGGCACUGCCAGCGAGAGUGAACCUAAAGGGGUUGGUCAGCGGAAGAUCAAACCUCUAGUCCGCCUCUCUCCUUCUCCUGCCAAGAAGACAGUACGAAGUCUACAAUUUUCCAGCGAUUCUGAUCAGGAUAACGAGGCUCUAUCACAAAGAAUCCCCAAAAAGAAGAGACAUCAUUCCAAAGACUCGGAAUCCACAACCAAACCAUCGCCAAAAAAAAGAGAUCUUCAAUUGAGGAGCAAGAAGAGCCAAUGCCCAGUACCUCUAGUUCCUCGGUGGGACAUGAGUCAGUAUCAUCCCCAAAGAGGAAGAGAACUGAGAAUACUAAAAUGA
rnacentral:lncRNA from 1 species